AGCAGCCGCGGUAAUUCCAGCUCCAAUAGCGUAUAUUAAAGUUGUUGCAGUUAAAAGCUCGUAGUUGAAUUUCGGGAUUGACACAUCGGUCGUGCCUUAAGGGGUAUGAACUGGUGUAGUCAAUUUCUCACCUUCUGGAGAACCGCGAUGCCCUUAAUUGGGUGUCACGGGGAACCAGGACCUUUACUUUGAAAAAAUUUAGAGUGUUUAAAGCAGGCAUUUUGCUUGAAUACAUUAGCAUGGAAUAAUAAAAUAGGACGGCAUGAUUCUAUUUUGUUGGUUUCUAGGAUCACCGUAAUGAUUAAUAGGGAUAGUUGGGGGCAUUAGUAUUCAAUUGUCAGAGGUGAAAUUCUUGGAUUUAUUGAAGACUAACUACUGCGAAAGCAUUUGCCAAGGAUGUUUUCAUUAAUCAAGAACGAAAGUUAGGGGAUCGAAGACGAUCAGAUACCGUCGUAGUCUUAACCAUAAACUAUGCCGACUAGGAAUCAGACGAUGUUAAUUUUUUAAUGACUCGUUUGGC
rnacentral:rRNA from 1 species